UGGGGAAUUUUACGCAAUGGGCGAAAGCCUGACGUAGCGACACCGCGUGAGCGACGAAGCCCUUUGGGGUGUAAAGCUCUGUCGGCUGGAACGAAAAAAAUGACGGUACCAGCAAAGGAAGCAUCGGCUAACUACGUGCCAGCAGCCGCGGUAAGACGUAGGAUGCAAGCAUUGUCCGGAUUUAUUGGGCGUAAAGAGUUCGUAGGUGGUUUGUUAAGUCUGAUGUUAAAGACCGGAGCUCAACUUCGGAACUGCAUUGGAUACUGGCAGACUAGAGUAUGGUAGAGGCAAGCGGAAUUCCCAGUGUAGCGGUGAAAUGCGUAGAUAUUGGGAAGAACACCGGUGGCGUAAGCGGCUUGCUGGGCCAUAACUGACACUGAGGAACGAAAGCCAGGGGAGC
rnacentral:rRNA from 1 species